rnacentral:rRNA from 1 species
AACAAACGCUGGCGGCGUGCCUAACACAUGCAAGUCGAACGUGAAAGUUGGCUUCGGCCGACGAGUAAAGUGGCGCACGGGUGAGUAACGCGUGGAUAAUCUACCCUUCAGUUGGGAAUAACUCAUCGAAAGGUGAGCUAAUACCGAAUAACACUGCCUGACCACGGUCCGGUAGUCAAAGAUAGCCUCUGCUUGCAAGCUUUCGCUGAAAGAUGAGUCCGCGUACCAUUAGCUAGUUGGUGGGGUAAUGGCCUACCAAGGCGACGAUGGUUAGCUGGUCUGAGAGGAUGAUCAGCCACACUGGAACUGAGACACGGUCCAGACUCCUACGGGAGGCAGCAGUGAGGAAUCUUGCGCAAUGGGGGAAACCCUGACGCAGCAACGCCGCGUGAGUGAGGAAGGUCUUCGGAUCGUAAAGCUCUGUCGGGUGGAAAGAAAUGUAUGGGGUUAAUAGCCUUCAUACUUGACGGUACCACCAAAGGAAGCACCGGCUAACUCCGUG